rnacentral:rRNA from 1 species
ACACAGGGAGGUAGUGACAAGAAAUAACAAUCGGGGCUCAACGCCUUGUAAUGGAAUGAUGGGAAUCUAAACCCCUUCCAGAGUAUCAAUGGAGGGCAAGUUGGUGCCAGCAGCCGCGGUAAUUCCAGCUCAAUAGCGUAUAUUAAAAUUGUUGCAGUUAAAAAGUGUAGUUGAAUUUUUGUGGAUCGUUGCGGCCCUCCGGGCCGGGCGGUGCGGUUAUUUUGGGUUCGCUGCGUUUUCGGAAGUUUACUUUGAGAAAAUUAGAGUGUCAAAGCCGGCCCUUGCCUUGAAUACUUUAGCAUGGAAUAAUAAAGUAGGACUUUGGUUCUAUUUUGUUGGUAG